AUUGAACGCUGGCGGCAGGCCUAACACAUGCAAGUCGAACGGAGUGGCGGACGGGGGAGUAAGGCAUAGGAAUGUGCCACGUAGUGGGGGAUGACGUCAGGAAACGGGAGCUGAUACCGCAUACUAUUAGAUGGGGCUAGGUCGGAUUAGCUAGUUGGUGGGGUAAGGGCUGACAAAGGCGACGAUCCGUAACCGGUCUGAGAGGAGGAACAGUCAAACGGGAACUGAGACACGGUCCAGACUCCUACGGGAGGCAGCAGUGGGGAAUAGUGGACAAUGGGCGAAAGCCUGAUGCAGCCAUGCCGCGUGUGUGAAGAAGGCCUUCGGAUUGUAAAGCACUUUAAGUGGGGAGGCGUUACCCGCAGAAGAAGCACCGGCUAACUCCGUGCCAGCAGCCGCGGUAAUUC
rnacentral:rRNA from 1 species